rnacentral:rRNA from 1 species
CUACGGGCUGCUGCAGUCGCGGAACUUUUACAAUGCACGCAAGUGUGAUAAAGCGAACCAAAGUGCUUAUCAUUUAGAUAAGCUUUUUCUCUACGUAAAAACUAGAGAGAAUAAGGACUGGGAAAGACUGGUGCCAGCCGCCGCGGUAAUACCAGCAGUUCAAGUUGCAUCCAUUUUUAUUGGGUCUAAAACAUCCGUAGCUUGGUGCUUAAGUCUCUUGUGAAAUCUCACGUCUCAAGCGUGGUGAAGUGCAGGAGAUACUGAGUACCUAGAGAUCGGUAGACGUAAGCAGUACGGGACGGGUAACGGUCAGAUGUGUUAAUCCGUCUUGGACUAACAAUCAGCGAAGGCAGCUUACGAGGACGAAUCUGACAGUGAGGGAUGAAGGCCAGGGGCGCAAAACGGAUUAGAUACCCCAGUAGUC